CAGAGCUGAGUCAAGCUGCUUGUGGCCUUCCUGGAGUUGCUGCUGUCCCAGGGCCUGGCUUCCUGGGUUUCCUGCCCCGCUGUUGGCCUCGGAGGCUCUGCUCACAUGAGAAUCGUGAAUGAGGCUCUUUGUCCUUGCAGGGUGCGUGUAACCGUUGCUCACAUCUAUCCCAGACGUGAAUCUGUGAACCCAGGUGUGGGCCCCCCGGUAAAUCCAUCUCGACGCAUCUCCUCUGCACCCCACCUCCUCUCAACCCCCCAGCACAUGUUCCUUUCUUGAAGCAAGCCUAACAAGGAAAUGUGCCAAGCCCUGACCUUUGAAUUUCAAAUCUGUAUCCUGAAAGCAAGACUCAAAAGAUAAAGAAGAGUCAGAACAGUUGUGUCUGUGCCUUGACUUGCUAAGGUUUCCUGAGAAUGGGAGGGCAAGAAGGGAAACCCAGAACUGUGUGCCGAUGCAUGUCCCUACGCAGGGCUCUGGGACCCUGGCCCAGCCUCUCCGAGUGCCCAUGUUCUGAUGAAGGAACUGGAGUCCUGAGCGGACUGAAGAGUCUGGAGACGGAACCGGAGCAGGCUUGCUGGACCCAAGGCUGAGCAGGAGCGAGGCCAUCUUUGCAGACAUGGCAGGCCCACGGUGACACCCCGGCCAGGCAUCCUAGGACGGGGGAGCCUAGUGGGCUGCCAUCUAUGGGGUCGCACAGAGUCGGACACGACUGAAGUGACUCAGCAGCAGCAGCGGCAUAUUAUCUCAUAGUUGUUGUGAUGUGCAUUCAGUGACCAAAGAUGCAGGUGACUCGAAGGACUGUAGCAGAUGGAAGCCAAGAGAGGAGUCUGGCUUUUCCAGUUGCUGUCAGAGAUAUCCUUGGGUUCCCAUCUGCAUCAUCAACCCCAGUCUGACUUGAAAAUUCUUGGAAGACAGGAGAGGAAGGACAAGCCAACUGUUCUGCAAACCUUCAGGACAGAUGACCUGGAAAGUUCCUCAGACCUUUAAGGGGCUGCUACUGCUGCUGCUGCUGCUGCUAAGUCGCUUCAGUCGUGUCCGACUCUGUGCGACCCCACAGACAGCAGCCCACCAGGCUUCCCCGGCCCUGGGAUUCUCCGGGCAAGAACA